UGACUAAGCAAUAAGAGCCUCAGAGU
rnacentral:piRNA from 1 species